rnacentral:rRNA from 1 species
AUACGUAGGUGGCGAGCGUUGUCCGGAAUUACUGGGUGUAAAGGGCGUGUAGGCGGGAUCUUAAGUCAGAUGUGAAAUUCCAGGGCUCAACCCUGGCGCUGCAUCUGAAACUGAGAUUCUUGAGUGCUGGAGAGGAAAGCGGAAUUCCUAGUGUAGCGGUGAAAUGCGUAGAUAUUAGGAGGAACACCAGUGGCGAAGGCGGCUUUCUGGACAGUAACUGACGCUGAGGCGCGAAAGCGUGGGGAGCAAACAGGAUUAGAUGCCCUGGUAGUCCACGCUGUAAACGAUGAAUACUAGGUGUAGGAGGUAUCGACCCCUUCUGUGCCGGAGUUAACACAAUAAGUAUCCCACCUGGGGAGUACGGCCGCAAGGUUG